rnacentral:rRNA from 1 species
GAUGAACGCUGGCGGCGUGCCUAAUACAUGCAAGUCGAGCGAACAGACGAGGAGCUUGCUCCUCUGACGUUAGCGGCGGACGGGUGAGUAACACGUGGAUACCCUACCUAUAAGACUGGGAUCACUUCGGGACACCGGCGCUAAUCCCGGAUAAUAUAUUGAACCGCAUGGUUCAAUAGUGAAAGACGGUUUUGCUGUCACUUAUAGAUGCAUCUGCGCCGCAUUAGCUAGUUGGUAAGGUAACGGCCUACCAAGGCAACGAUGCGUAGCCGACCUGAGAGGGUGGUCGGCCGCACUGGAGCGGAGACGCGGACCAGACGCCUACGAGAGGCAGCAGUAGGGAAUCUGCCGCAGUAGUCGAAAGCCUGACGGAACAACGCCACGUGAGUGGUGAAAAUCUUCGGAGCGUGAAGCUCUGUUAUGAGGGAAGAACAGAUGUGUAAGUAACUAUGCACGUCGUGACGGUACCGAAUCAGAAAGCCACGGCUAACUACGUG